ACCCAGGAGGUGGAGGUUGCAGUGAGCCGAGAUUGCGCCAUUGCACUCCUUCCCGGGUGACAGUGUGAGACUCUGUCUCAAAAAAAUAAAAAGCAGUACUAAGUUACAAAGACAGCCUAAGCAAUAAAGAUGAGGCCAGAGUGUAUGGAAAGUGGGACCCCAGCAAAAUAGAGGUUGACAUGGCCCAGGUCCUGGCUACUUUGCAAAUAGAAUGCUUCCUUUAAUAUGUGUGAUAUGGUCAUUCAUUCAUUCAUUCAUUUGUUUAUUCGUUCAUUCAUUCUCCAUAUGCUGAAUACCCCUCUGAAUCCAACACUACACUAAAUGCUUGCCCUACCAAGGACAGCAGUAUACUCUGGGAUUGCAGCAUGAAUUGGGACUGAUAGUGACUUGGGUUCAAGUCUCAGCUCUUCCACUUGUUGAGUAAGACAUUUUUGAUAAGCUGUGUCACCACUCAAAGCCUCAGUUUCCCCAUAUGUAAAACGAGGACAAUAUUAACUCCUACUUUAUUGAGAGUUUUAAGUAUUAAAUUCUAUAAUGUGUGAAAAGCUCUUAGGCCAGUAUGCAAAGUAAAUGUACAAUAAAUGUUAGUUGUUUGUGUUGUUGCAGUUAAAUGACAGUGUUCUGUCAGUAGAAAGUAGAGGAAGGCCAAUACUUGCUCCCAGUAGCUCUUCUUCACAACAAGGAGAACUACCUAUACAGAGUAGGCUCCCCGAGGAGGUGGGGAGCUGUUCAUCUCUGCCUGUGUUCAAGCAGAAUGUAUAUUCCAAUAUUAGGGAUACUGUAGAAGAGGCUUGUCUUUGAGGAGGAGCAGCAGGAAGGAGCCUACCAUUUCUCUUGUACCCUGUGUGCUGGGCCUGCUGCUGGUUACUUUAUAGAUGUAUUCUAAUUUGAGCCUUGAGAAACUCCUGCAAUGAAGAUAUUACUAUUCUCCUUUUGGCUUCACAAGAACAGGUAACAUACCGAGAUGCUGCAACCAGGAAGAGGUAGAAAAGACCUUAGACCCCUAAAUGCAUGCUUUUUUCAGUGCACUACCUUCAUACUCAGUUAACCCAUCCUGAGACUAAAGGAUCCUCAGGAAAUUUACCUAAGACAGAAUAAGGUCAGGGUGAGAUUUUGUUUCACUAAAGUGAGAGGGAGCUUUUCCUCUUUGAAGCUCCAGAUCUCAUACAUUAUCCAAAAUAAUAAUCAUAAUAAUAACCUGCCUAAAAAUACCACAGAUCCGAAAAGUCUGGAAAGCUCCUUCAGAAAUGCUUCACUUCCGUACGUUGAUCUCUUUUUGAAAAAACAAAGCUUUCUCCCUCACGGUUCAGUUCCCUGGCUCCCUGCCCUGCCACCCAUUCCUCUCCACCUUCCAGCUACUUGGAUGAAAACAGGCCAAAACAAAGCAUUUCAAAAACUCACCCUAGAAUCCCAGCUUUCAGAUCUGGGAUCUGAAAAAAACAAAGAGUGGAAGGCAGUGGAGGGUGAGGUUUUUUUUUUUUUUUUGGUCAAGAGGAACAGAUUCCAUUCUUGAAUCCUUUGCCAUGUUAUAAACAAGGCUGAGCACACAGCAUUCCUCCCAAAGCACAUGGUCCUGUUUUUACAACACAGGCCUGGUCCCCCCUGGAAUUCAGUGUUUGCCUCAAUACUGUUCGUCCUAUUCAUCUGGGAUUUAUUUUAAUUUGAUGGUGUUAAUGGUGGCCAGGAAUAGAACAAUCCUUUCAUUCUUCUCUUUUCCUUCAUCUCUUUCUCCAUACCUUCUGUCUUUUAUAAUUAUAUUUUUAAGUGUAUAAAUAUUCCCAUGAACAAUGCCAAAUUCUAGGCACUGCUUGUUACUGCCUUUGGUGGGUGGUUGUGCCCUCACGCCUGUAGCUUCCAGUUUGGGUGGCGUGUUGCAUUUCCUUCUCCAAGGUGCUCAAACUCCAGCAGCUCUCUCAUUUGGAGCUAUAUUAUUGAGAUUCUUCCCCUUUUGUAGAAAGGUGUUCAUUUGUUUUACCCUUUCAGGCUAGUUUUAAGGGCUCAGUUGAAAAUGUCAUCGGAGAAGGGACAGUGUAGACUUGGCUAAAAAUUGAAAGAGUAGGUCCACUUAACUCACUGCCUCUUUGAGGGUUGGUAGUUAAGAACUUGGGUUGUUGGGGUGGAGGUGGGAGCUGAGCACCUUGGUAUAUGUGAGAAAUUAGUAUUUAGGAAUUAGAUUAGUCCAUUUAAGAAAUUCACUGAUAUGUACCAAACGCAAUGAAUAGGUCUUUUUCUCAAAAGGAUACAUCACAUUCCACAAAGCUGUCAUUGAUCAAAGUACUUUGUAAUAUUUCUGGAGUUGUCUCCAGACAUUUUGGUAUGUUUCCUUUUAAAUAUUAUUCAUCAGAGAAAAUCUUCACCCUCUGAGAAAACAAAGAUAUGUAAGCUUUCAAAAACCACCUGUGCACAAUACUAGUGAAUCUGUAUUUUUUUAGUUCCUGAUCCAUGAUUAUAUAGGAUCCUGGGCUUUGUUGAUUGGCUUACAUUCUGAUUCUAGUGGCUUCAGAUUACAAGUGACAUUAGAACAAUGGCAGUAUCAUUGCACUGAGUAGUUUGCUUUCCGUAAUUACUCCGUUCCAUUACGAGUCAGGUAUGUAUGUGAGUUCAACCCUACUCAGUGGGCCUUUGUCCUAUUCAAGGAGCGUGAUUAGACAGCAGUCCAUGCAGCCCAAUGCCAUCAUGAACCAGCUGCACGGGCAAUGUCUACUCUAGGCACAGCCUCGCAGGAGAUGCUUCUGACUGUAAAUAUGUGAGCAAGCGAGUAGCCUGCCCAUGUCUCCACAGCCAAACCAUCCUCAUAUUAAUCCAACAAAAAACACCACAUCUCUUUCCACAUUAGAUGCUGGAAGAAUAGUAAUGUCAUGAAAAAAAGAAAACAGCAGUAAUCUGAAAGUCACAUUUCCUAAAUCUUUACAAGGUCUCGUUGCAUUGGCACCCAAAUGUCUGUUGACCUUCGUAAUCUAAAUGUGGUGACAUUCUUUCAAAUUCCAGAAGGGGUAACCUUUCUUAACACUGUGCUUUAUGAUUUGGGUGUGGAUAGUCCUUUCGUAAGACAGCAUCCCACUACUCCAGCAAUUCUCGCCUGGGUUUAUUUAGCCCCCCAGGAGACUUUUGGCACUGUCUGGAGAUACAUUUACUACAGCUAAGUGGGGAUUUCUGCUGGCAUCUAGUGAGUAGAAGCCAGGGAUGCUGCUAAAUACCCUACAAGGCAUGGAACAGCCUUUACCCCACCCUGUAACAGAGAAUUAUCUCAUGUAAAUGUCAGGAAUGCUGAAGUGGAGAAAUCCUGCACCAGAAUGUAUUUCACCUGAUGAACACCAAGACAGCAUAUGGCAUAGGCGUGAACAUAGCCCUGGAAAAAUGUAUGCAUUCGUGCCUUGUUUGAGCAAGACUUAGUAUGGGGACCAAUUAUUUAUUUAUUUUUUUUUUUCGAUUCAUGUCAUAAAAACAGGAAUAAUCCAGGUAGAUGUUGCCCUUGGCAUCCCAAGUUCAUCUUUUCUACACCAAUCUCUGGUGUGAGGAUUGGCCUCGUUGUACCUUGGAUGUGGUGCAUCCUUUCACACGCAAUGUGUAAAAGAAACAGUAUCUCUGCUGUCCAAAUUUAUGUAAACUUCACUUUCUAUUAUGUAACCAGCUGCCUGCUUCAGAAUCAAAAAAUAUCAGAGUAUAAGAGUUUCUUCUGUUUAUCCUACCUGUGAGGAAACAGGAAUCAUAAGAAUGUGGGUAACUCUUAGGGUAAAUGACAAAGAAACAGGGUUAGGACCAGGUGUCCUGAGGUCUAACCUGGUACCCACCUCACAGCCUUUCCACCACUCCUCCAUCUUGUAGGCAGAGAGUGGCGGCCCCAGACUCAUUGUUUCUGGCUCAUAACAUAUCUCUUUACAGACCCAGGCAGUGAAAUCACAGCCUUCACUCAAGGAUGAGAGCGUAUUUCCCUCUGGUGCUGGACCCUGCAGAGUCUCUGAACUGUAAAGCUCAAUCCCUGACUUUUCUGCCAAGAUUAGAUAAUGGUUUGCUUUCUUCACUUCACUCCCAAUGUCAUUUCUUAAAACAUCAUUCAUUGACAUUGGGAGUGAUCCUGAUAAGCAUCUCCAUCAUCAUGGUCAGGGAACAUACCAGAAACAUAGCUGGUGUGGGACAAAGGAAUUUCAUGGAAUGUGAUUGUUAUUUUAAAAGUAAAUAGAAGAAGGCAAGUGAUCUGCAAAGUCCUAUAAGGGCUUUGGCAUAGCAUCUCAGUGAAGGAGUGAAACUAAUAUGACAAGAGACAGGCCAACCGUCUUCACUACACAAGAAAAAAAUGCAUGGGAAGAAAAUACAGUCUCCAUAUACUACAUAGUCCCAUUGUGUUCCCUGGGCAUUUACUAAAACAAGAGUCUUGAUGGUUAAUGCUUAAAAGUCCCCUAAUUAAGGUGCUUUUCAAACCAUUCUUAGACUCACCACAAGGUAAGUGAAAGGAGAUACUGUCGUCGUUUUUUUACCAUGGGGUCGACAGAUUUUUUAAAUUGGGAAAGAAUUUCUAAGUGCACUCAGAAGGUAUGCACUAGACUGGACUGAGGACUUUAUAUAAAAAAGGAGUUGUGAAAUAUCACCCAGAGAAAGAGCUGUAGACUCCAUAGCAGUGUUCAGAAGAAACAGAAUACAAAACCACUUGCGGAUUUGCCAAAUCGGGGAAUAAGCUUUCAAAGGGAUUCCUGGCCUGACUCAAGCCUUCCUGCCUCCGUGACAUCUUAAAAUCUUUCCUAGGCAGCUUAUUUCCCCCUUUACUCAGCACCCCUACUUCAUACAUAUCUGUUCCUACUGACUUGUUCUUUAAUUGUUCCUUGUAGGUUUGCUUGGAGUCUUUGCAUCAUAUCAGCUUGCUAGGGCUGUCACAACCAACUGCCACAAGCCGGGGGCUUAAGCACCUGAAAUGUAUUGUCUUACAGAUCUGGAGGCUGGAAGUCCAAGAUCAAAGUGUCUGCAGAGUUGGUUCCUUUGUAGGAGAUUGAGAGAGGCUGUUCCAUGCUUCUCUCCUUGCAUUUGGUGGUUUGCUGGCAACCUCUGGCAUUCUUUGGCUUAUGUGUGCAUUGCACCUAACUCAGCCUUCGUUUCUUAUGGCAUUUACCCUGUGUCCAGGUCUGUGUUGAAAUUUUCUCUUCAGUCAUUUACCUCAUUUUACUUUGAUUAUAAAGACUCUCUCCACAUAAGGUCACCUUCUGAGGUAAUGGGGUUAGAAGGCCACAUAUCUUUCUUUGGGGGACACAAUUCAACCCACAAUAGCAACUAACCUUAAGGUCUCAAGAAUAGGAAUUGCCUUAUAUUCAUGCAUCCUCUAUUGCACCAAGUGAACUCUACAGCGAGUAGCAAGUUUCUUGAUUGAUCAGAAGUACCAUGUGGAACCACAAACAUGUGGUCUGUCCAGCUCAGGGACUCAUCUCUCAUGGAGUUACAGAGGGCUGGUUUGCAAGAGAUUAUCAUUUAAGAACUUCUGUCAAAAUACACGCCACUUUUCCCAGUUACAAACUCCCUCACUAUAAACUGUGAAGUUGGGAAAACUGACUCAACCAUGCUGCUAGUGGAAAAGUUAACAUUCCACCCUCAGUCAUCUCACUCCUGAGCCAACGACUUGCCUGGCCCGCAUCUCCUCCUGAAUCAGUUUCCACUUCCAGCCACUCCUAGUCAAUGGAUCGUAUUUGUUUUAUGCAGCUCUUACUUUUAUCUCUUUCAUUUCGCCUGUGCACUGACACACUGUAUUAGAUGAAUGUUUCUUCAUCUGUCUUGUUGUAUCUUCUUCUAAAUGAACUUGCCAGAAAACAAUGCACAUCUUGAGGGUUUGUUGAUGAAAUGGAACAAAAGAUCUCCAGUAAUGCUUAAAGCCUCACUUUGAUUAUUAUUCUCUGGUUUGAAAAUUUACAUAGGCUCCCAAGAGCCUGCUAGGUAAACCAUGUGAGGCCCCCAGACCAUGCUCUGUGUUCCUUGCUUACCACAUUCCAUGAUGUACCCACAUAAAUCCUCUGCACCAGGAUGCGGUCUCCUCAUCUUUCACAUUCAAUCUUUCCCACCUUAUUACUGUGAAUUUUUUCCAUUUCCCGGUUUUCCUACCAUUAUUGAGAUUAACUCACACAUUUAACCUGGCAAUGUUGAUCCUUAAAAACAGAAAGUAAUUUCCUUUUCAAAAUUACAUCAGCUGGCCAUAUUUUGUCUCUUUGUUAAAGCCAAACUAUUUCUUGAAUCUAACAUGAUGGAGUAACCUUUGAAGCUAUUCUGAGGAUGUAGAAUGCAUCCCGUUGAAUCAGGGCUGGCCCACCUCAGGUCAAAGAGGAUCUGUCCAUCCAGAGCCCAGAAGUCAUAUGAAAGGCAGGUAUUUGCCCCGAGCCUCCUGAAGGAAUGAUGCAGCACUGCCUCUAGACCCUUCUGAGGCUUGGCAAGGGCUUCUUGAGAGCUCCUGCGCUACCAAAGCUGGCUUCACAUUGUCUCUGUGAGUCCCUGAAGCCUUCCAGGACUUCCUGAGAAAUCGUCAGCCCUCCAGUUUGUGCUGAUGCGACAAAGAUUCAGAAAGAGCUCAAGACACCUCUCUAGACAUCUUUAUUUGAUUUGCCCCCCUUUUCUUGUGGUCUGAAACCAAACUCUAUCCUGUCCCUAUGGGAAAAGGUUUUCUUCAUCAAUCUCAUGGGUGUGGAGUAUAUAUUAAAUAAGUAUAAAGUCUCAGUGAUAACUCACAGGGAUCCUGAGGGGUCUGGCCAGAAACCGACUUUUAAAAUGAUGUGUAGUCUUCAUCAGAGACCAUGUAUGUUCGCCAUGAAUUGGACGGAAAUUUUGCCCUGAGAUUUGUGUCUCUUCUCCCAUGCAUGUAUCAGGUGUAUUUAUUACAUUUAUUAUAAAUGCAACCUAGGCGAAUUUCCAAGAAUGGAGCCCAGUUUAUGCUCUUGGGGAAGUAAUGAUGCUGAAGAUUCCAUCGGUGUUGCUCUCUCAAAAGAAAAAGCAGCUUGCAGAAGUGGAAAGAAAAAGAACUUUGCAAUUUAACAGACCAGAUUUCUACUUUGAGUUCCAACUGUUUACUAGGUCUGACCUCGGGCAAAAUAGUUCAGAUAUCUAAGCCUCAAUAUCCUCUUCAGAGAAAUGGAAACAAUCAUGAUAUGAAACACAGAGCAAAAAUAAAUCCCAGAACUCCAUGGUUCUCAUUCUUCUAGAUAAAGGCAAGGCUCUAACUGCCCUAUGAGCUAAUAAGAGCAGACCCCAAGUCCUGGUAUGGGCUUAGUGGUCAGCACUGAGCCAGCCAGGUGGGAAGGAGGAAACCCAGCCCUGCACUCUCUCCGCUGUCUAGGUUGGGUUUGGAGCUGAUGAGUGUUUAGGACAGCUCUAGCAGCAGAGGAGCGAAGAUGAAGAGGCAGAACAGCUAGUGUCCCCUCGGCUGUGGAGCAGGACGUGGUGCCUUACCUGGAGCUGGCUUCCACAGAUGAGAACACAGGAGACUGGGGAGGCAGUUGCCGCCGUGCACUGUGGUGGCAACAUGCCUUUUAAUGAGGGCUCCUCAGAAGUCGUGUUCUCACAUGGGAGAAUGCAGGAAGAAGUGUGUUCCCUCCCAGCUGCCAACCGUACCUACAGGGCACCGGAAGGAACUUCACUCUCAGCACUGGGCCCUGCAGCCAACCUCACAAAAUGCUUUUUGGUGUUUGCCAACAGGGAAGCUCAGGCUGCAGCUGCAGCAGCAGGUGCUGGCUGCCAGGUUCCCCGUGGCAACCCAGUGUACGCCAGGUUAGCAGCUCAGCCUUGGAGAAAUGGCCUCCAUCUCGGAUGCCUGUGGCCCGAAGCAUGGAGUGGAGCUGUGUUUCCCUGUGGUGGGAAGAUAAUGACUGCGCUGGUUUUUAUGGGGCAUUAUAUAACCUCAGCGGGUGGUUCAGCAGUAGCAGUGGCUUUUAGAGCGUAUGGAAGAUUGUAACAUGCUUGUUGUUUUUUGUUUGAGAGAUUUUUUUUUUCACUUUGGUUGUCAUCAUUCAGUCUGAUUCAUUAUCAUUCAUGGGUUUGCUCAGGCCCUUGGCUAACAUGUUUAUGACACGAGGAGGGCAUUGCUUCCGGCCACAUGGUAACUCAAGUCUGCAUUUGUAUGUUUUGCAGAAAGGUUCACAUCUAGGAUCUUAAUUUGAUCCUCUCUACGAAAUAAUCAGAGAGAGGGAGAGCAAGAGAGAGAGACAGAGAGAGAGAUUAGGAAUUGCUAACCUGUUCCGUUUGAUGUGUAAACUGAGGCUCAGAGAGUGACCUGCCUUGUUGCAAACCAUGCCUGUUCUGGAGCUAGGACCCCAGAUCAGAUCUUUUGAGUCUCAGUGCCUUAUUCUUUCCAAUCUACCAUGCUGCUCAUGCCUCCUGCUAGCCCUGUGUUUUUGUUUCCAGUUGGCAGUGAACUGUUUAAUCACAUGUCCUUUCCUCUGAUCGGUUGUGGUCUUGCCUUUGGUACACAGAUCAAUGCCUGUUAACCACAGUUCCUUGCCUGGGAGGUUCUGUUACUGAGCACGACUGGAGGAAAAAGAAAGGAAAAACCCUGAAUUAUAAAAGCAUCUCCGCCUGUGCACCAUGCCCCUUUACUCCACGCACUCUCUUGCACUGCGGGCCGCAUCUCCACCUGCUUCUAGCCUACCCCACGAAGCGUGUUUUGACAUGAACUGCUAUGGCUGUCUGAGAUUCAGGAUAAGUGAGACAUCAAGGGUGGCUUAACUCCUGAACCCAAAAGCACACUGAAUAAACAUCAUCUGAUGCCUUUGCCUCCGUCAUAUUGGUAAACUCACACUCUAGUAGAUGGUUAGCUUUUAAUUCUUCUCAAUUUAGGGGGAGACAUGGACUUAGGAAAUUCAUAAAAGCUGAUAAUCCCCAAUUAGUUAAGUAAAUUACAUAUGUGCACCCACACACGCAAAUGCUUCCUAUAGCUUUUUUCUAUAACUUCUUAAGAACGUGACAGCGGUAAGUGUCAUGACAUUUUUUGGCUUAAGCAGGUGUUAAAAUGUGUUUACCUUCCUUAAAUAAAUAACUAAGCAUAUAUAAAGGCAUCCCAGACGUUUUUUCAAAACCUAAAGCUGAGACAGCAUGUGUCUUUGAUGGUUCUCAUUGGUGUUAGUACAAAAAUGGUUUCUAGAAUUUCUCCUCGUAAUUUACAACUAACUGAAAACAAGGACAAUGAUACUAGCAAAUACUGAGCAUUUACCAUGAGCUAGAGAUUGUGCUUAAUACUAUGCAUUGUAAAUAAAUACUCAUGUUUUAUUCAUUCCUUACAACAACCCUAUAGAGUUGGACACUACUAAUAUUUACAGAUGAGGAAAUUCAGGCUUAAGGGGGUUAAGUAAUUUCUCAAGGUCAUGACUGUCAUAUCUGGUGUGGACUUAUUCUGGAGUCUAAAGGAAAGCAAAGUCCUAAUUUUAAAAGGCAAAUGAUAAUUUUAUAACUGGAUGUUGAUAGGAUUACAUAUGAUAUUCAGUAAGAAGACAUAAUUCAUGUGAUCAAGUGAAAUCAAACAAUUUGCUGAUAUGGAUGCUGUGGUGAUGCCAAGAAAAUAUGCAGCACAGUUCUAGGAUUAAAGAGUCUACAAUCUGUUAAGGGUAAAUAAGAUAUAAACACGUGAAAACAUAAAUCACAAAUGAUGAUUCUGAUUUGAUUGGAACAGGACUACGUUGUUAGAAUCAUAGACUCGCAGGGUACCAGAAACUUGUACUCCGGGCAUGUAUGUUAUGUCAAUAACAGGCACCACCUAUCAGACCUGAGGUGGGUCCCCUGAUAAAGAUCUGGUCAAUGAUUAAACAAAUAAACCAGCAAGAUUGUCUAGAUAAAUCUCUCCAGUGCAAGAAUUCUCAAAGCAGCAGCCCCAGGUCUUCAGAGAGAGUAGGGCAGCCUAUGCCAUCUUAUAGCAGGGGUGCAUUCAAGGUGCUAAUCCAAGAUAGCUAUAUAAGGAAAGCGUGUUUCCGUGGAAAUUGCCACACUGCUUCCUUCACCCACAGAGGCUCACUGGGAAAAAAAUAUAAAUGCUGCGCUAAACAGCCUGCUUAGCAUCAUACUUGAUUUAUACACGGGUGUAGCCUCUCUUUCUCAUGGGGGCCAGGUAAUUGUCUGCUGACCAACAGCCAGUUUGCUAACCAGGCUUUUCACUAUUCUAAGUCUGUGCACUAUUCGAUAGUCUUCUAAAGACUAUCAAAACCUGCUCCCCAGGUGUGGCUGCCCCUGCAUGUGCACUGGCUCUUUGUGUUGCCCCGGGAGUCAGACCACCUGGGACUGAAUGCCACCUCUGUCCAGCUGUGCGAUCUUGGGCCAUCAGUCUCAGAAUACUGACAGAUGGAGAUUAUCUGAAUUAAGGAAAAUAAUCCAUAGAAAAUGCCCAACUCAUAGUAAGACUUUGUAUCUGGUACCCCUUAUUGCUGUGGUUGUUGAUGAUGUUGUUAGAAACUCUAGAGAGAUUUAUUUUUAAUAAAUAAAGAUCGUAGUAAAAUAAAGAUCCUACCUCAUAUUGAGGGCUUGAGAAGUGGUAGAAGAGUGACUUCUUCAUAAUUCUCCAGGCUUGAGCCAGAGGAGUUGGAGAGAGACAGAAUCUUGGUAUGAUACAAUGCACUCAGUAUUUGUUUCAAUCGUAUAUGGUAAGAGAUGCAGAUAUAGAAUGACUGUCAUGAAGGAGGGGGCUUUUAUACUCACAGAUCUGGGAACAGGAGGUGUGGCACACCAGGUAUGGCCACUCGGGGAAGAAUCAGGGUCAAUCAAGAGGCAAAGGGAUGAAGGGAAAGUGUAGGCUAAAACCUUUGUUGUGGUUAUCAUGCGAUGGAAUUAGGGAGGUUGGGUAGGCAGAUUUAGAGUUGGCUGGUUGGAAUAAUUUCGGGCACCUCCAGAGUAUAGAGAUUCCCCCUAGUUGUCUGGUACCUUGCCCUGGAGUGAUGCUGGUGUGGGGAAUUGUGACUCAUCCUGUGAGAGCCUCAUAAAGGAAGUGGUUGGUAGAUGUGGGCUCCGGAUUGAUUCGUUUGCAUGUGAAAGAUGCAUUCUCAGGGGAGUCCUUUGGCAGCUCUAGGAAUUCGCUAGCCCUGGGAAGAGACAUCUCUCCAGAGUCAGCAAGAUUUGUCAAAGUAUCAUAAAAGACAGAAAAUAAAAGAAAAUGUGGUAUAGAUGCACGCAUACAAUGGAAUACUAUUCAGCCAUAAAAAAAUAAAAUCACAUCUUUUGCAAUAAAAUGGAUGGAACUACCAGCUAUUAUCUUAAGUGAAAUAACCCAGAAUCAGAAAGUCAAAUACUACAUGUUUUCACUGAUAAGCAAGAGCUAAAUAAUAUAUACACAUGGACAUAGACUGUGGACUGAUAGACAUGGAGAACUUGAAAGGGUAGGCAAGUGAGAGAGGGAUCAGAGAUGAAAAAUUACCACUAAAAGCCCAGACUUCAGCAUUAUACAGUAUAGCCAUGUAACAAAGCUAUACUUUGUGACUCCUAGAUUUAUUCAUACGUUAAAAAAAACAUGAAUAAUACACCUGGCACUGCAGUCCUGGAAAGCGACAGUAGAGUCAGUAUUUGGGAAAGGUGAGGCAAGGCGAUGGCUUUGUCAAGCUCACAACCACACGCACUCCGAGUUGAGUCCUGUGGUACCUGCACAGUAGAGAGUGGGAUGCUGGUUCUGUGCCAGCCCCAGGGUCUGCAGGCUCCUGCCAUCCUUGGAGGCUGAGAUAACAUGGGGAGGCCCAGAGUUUGCUUCCUCGGGCCCCACCCUACCUCCCUGCUCUACUUUUGAUAACACAUCAUGAGGGGUGCUAGGAAAAUCCAGUUGCCUCAGCCCAGUGGAAAUUUUGGUCUCGAACACUGGCCUGUUUCUAGAGCUGGAGUCCACUUAGACACAGAUCUCUUACGGAACUAUAUCUGACUGUUUCUGUGCAGCAGCCACUGAGUGCCCUUGCCCACUGUCAGUUCCCAGGCAUCCCCAAUCCUGCCGUGAAGUCUGAAGCUCUGAUGGUUGUGAUGGACAGACAAAACCCACUCACCAUGUUUCUCUCUGCUGUGUUUUUAAAUUUACUUUUAAGAAAAGGCAUGUGGUGUCCAAGACACUUGGGAAUACACAGAUGUGUUUAAACAACUUGGUUUCUUCUCAGGUUCUGCCUUAAUUCAAUAAUCCAUUCACUCUUGCAUUCAACAAGCAAAGGAUGUUUGACAGAAUUUUUUUUUCUGAAUUCCGAGACAGAACAGCAAAAUGAAUCAUUGAGCAUUGAGACUCAAAUUCUCCAAGGUGGGAGGGCUGUGGAAAGCCAGUGUCUGCUGUACAAUCAGCAGCCAGAAUGUAGGCUGAGGGAGGUAGUAAAACAGCCUGUGCCCAUCCAUUAAGAAACAGCUGAGCUUCAUAGGGAAAGCUUGUCCAUAGCAAGGAGGUGGAGAUCAGAGAAGUCAGUUUCAGCCCACGCCAUCUAGUUAAGUCUGGUUUACUUCAUGGGCCACAGACUUCCCCUAGCUCUGACCUGUCACCCUGCAGGAAAGAAGCCAAGGAGGAGGAAUCUGUGCUGGUGACUCAGGGCACAUUUCCCAACUGGGGAGAAAUAAUUCAGAUUACAUCCUCCUGCUGUCGGAUUAGGGCAGCACAUUUAAGCCCAUACAGCCAGGGACAGGUUCAUGUAGAUUGGAAUAAAUGAACAAAUAUGCUCUUGUUUAACUGGUGAAGUGGUUUGGCUUCCUGUUAUCACCUGAUCUAGGGACAGCUUGCUGAAUAUCCCCCCACACACGUUCAGGAAGCAAAACCAUUGAGAGAACUCAAUGUCUAAUUCUUGACAGGGUCAAGAAAUGAGGACCGUAUGACAUUGUUUAGUAGUUAAGACUUUGUAGCCAACUUGCAUGCAUUCACAAUCUGACCCUACUACCCACUAGUUGCAGUAAUAAAGGGUGAAUCACUUACCUUUUCUGUGCCUCAGUUUUCUCCCCCAUAAAAUGAGAAUGAAUAUAAUGCUGAAACAAAUAAGCUUGUUGUAAAUAUAAAUGAGUUAAUACAUGAAAAGGUCUUGGAGAGUAUCUUUGCGUGGUGUACCUGCAAUUGAAGUAUCGGUUAUUGCUAUUACCAGCGUAGCUGUGAGAUAGAGAGUUUUAGGAACUGGAAUGCAUGCUUCAAACAGCCAGUGGGGUGCCUGCUCUAGACUCUCUGCCUUGACAUCAGGGGUUUCCUCAUCAGUGCUGAGCAUGCCAGGGCUUGGAGAGGAUGCUCUUGGGGGCUAGAUCAACUUGUCAUAGUUUUGUCAGGGUCCAAGGCACAGUAAGUAGAAAGGAGUUACCCCAAUCUGGCCAGUGCAGAAAAGGGGGAGACUCAACACUGAAACAGAGCAGGUAUCAAGAUACUAGAAUAAAAAUAACUUCUCAAAAGUUGUAUUUCCACUCUCCACUUUUGGGGGCAAGAUGGGUUGUUCCAUCAGGUGCAUCAGGCCAUCUCCUAUUUUCGCUCCAAUUCAGAAACCUGCCCCCUCUGCCAGAUCUGUGGAUUGGCAACUGCUCCACAGGUCUUGACCUACCUUUACCUCUAUCACCAUGAAAUCUUCACGUAAGAACCUAACCUCAGUGAAUAGGUAUAAGGUACUUAGAAGCACACUUACCUUUCGUAAAGCCUUAAAAUAUAAAAGACAUGCACCUGCUUUUCUUGGGGAAACCUCAGCAUGCCUCCAAAUACCCACUCAUGCCCCAAACCUGAUAAAACUGGCAGAAGGUCAGAGGGUUUUUGAAGAUGUAUAAACAGUUGUGUUUGUGAGAAGUAAGAGAAGAAUAUUAGAUUACACUUUAUACUUGUUCAUCUACCUUUAUCAAUGUUUCACACCAACAAGCACAUAUGUAGUAAAAGGCGAUGAGGGAGGGGGUCAGUGGCAAAAUUGUCCUAUAGAAUCAAUCUUGAGGUGAACAGAGAAAAAUAGAUCAUAAGUAUUACAUACUUAUGCCCAUAAAUCAUUUCUUUUGCAGGGAGAAAGAUAAGAGAUUUGACAUUUAGUCAUGGGGAUAUUUUGUUCUUGGGUUACAUGCUCUUACAAGAUAUCACAUGUAUUCAGUCCUCAUAAUUACCAUAAGAGAAGAAUUACCACCAUUUUACACUUAAGAAAACUGAGGCCAAAAGUCCUAUCCACAGCCUCCACCCUCAAGGAGGUUCCUUCCUAAACAGACAAUCCAUCCUAGCAUCACUGAAAGAUACCAAACAACAAAAGAAAAUACAGCCCAUGCAUGAUAGAACUGACCAGCGACUUAAUUUUGCUUGAUAGAGGCAAACAAUUAGUUUGAGCUGUUGCCAAAUUUCAUAUGAACUGGGCUGGUGAGGGUGGGGAGGUUUUCCCUUACACACUAUUUUUAGGAAAACUCAUAAUUGAAUGUAAUUUCUGCAGCUGCCAUUAGAAAGCAGGAUGACAGCCACAGCGUCUAGAAGACAGCAGGGCGGGAUAAGCCAGGGUGCAUCUGCAAAACCCAGGGAAGAGAGCAGAGCCUGUGCCCUAACAUAACACCAAGGUCAGGACCCAACCCAUAGAGAAAGUGGUGGGGGAGAGUGUGGACCCCUCCAGCCCGCACCCAUGAAGGGCGAGCAUCCUGCAGAGUUCCUGUUGUGGCGGAACCUUCUGUAUCUUUGUUCUCUCUCCGCCACGGCUUGUAAGUAUUAGCCUGAUGUUGUUUACUUCUUCUCCCAAUCUCUCCAAGGAAUAUGAUUCACACGUUUUCAGAUUUAUUUGAACAAAAUGCAAUAAAUAUGCUGCUUCAAUUUUAACUGCUGGCCUGUAGCCAGGGUUUUUAAUGAAUCUGGCCUGUGCUACUGAAGUGUUCCAGGAUCUCCAGGGCUCUGGGCACUGUGAGAUUAUACACACUGGUGUGCGUGCACACACACACACACACACACACACACACACAGAGUUCUCGCCCCACCCCCACCUCCCUACCUCCUAUUCCCCAGAGGGGCCAGUGACUCACAGUCAACUGCAGGUUUUCAGAGCAGACUCUGGUAAAAAUUAGCAGGAGCCUUUUAUUGUUCGAGGAGAGGAAGGACUCCUCCAUCUCCUUUUAUGGCUGCGUGGAAGUGCCAUCUUUAAAUUCCCCCCCCUCCGUUGGAAUUGCUGUACCCACCUCUAAAAACUGCCAUCAUCAGCCUUUUUGUCUCUUUCUUUGUUUUCUUGCAAAUGGUCACUAGACCGGACCCAGCCUGUGGGGACUUCCAUAUAAAAACAGCUGGCUAUGGAGGCUUAAUGUGGAGAUAAAAGGACUUGGAAUUGAUUUUUACCACAACCACACAGCCAGUGCUCCAGGCUUUGGAGAGCUAGG